rnacentral:lncRNA from 1 species
GGUGGAACAUCGUCUUGCUGCUCAUGGUGAUCUCUAGCUUGAGCUUCCCCUCCGGCUCCCUAUUGAUGUCCUGAGGAGGCAUAGCCGGGGUUGCCGAAGGUGCUAUUGCGAGUUGUAUUCACCAUCCUGUCAGGGAGUAGACAGGUCAAUUUGUCGAACUGGCUGAAUCAUAAGGGAUGAUGCUCUAGUAAAGAGGGGGUCUGGUUCUAUGCUAGUGUGAAAUUUUUAAGCCAAAGGUUUUUGGAAAGCUAUGCAUUAGUUUAAAACAAGCGAUGUAGUCACCCACAAGCUGCCUAAGGUAGAAUGCGACUUGCAUCCAACAGGCUUACACAACACUCAUGGUUCACUAAACCGAUACAUGAACUCCUACGCUCGGGGAGUAAA